GGGUGAGUAACACGUGGGCAACCUGCCCAAAAGAGGGGGAUAACACUUGGAAACAGGUGCUAAUACCGCAUAACCAUAGUUACCGCAUGGUAACUAUGUAAAAGGUGGCUAUACUACCGCUUUUGGAUGGGCCCGCGGCGCAUUAGCUAGUUGGUAGGGUAAAGGCUUACCAAGGCAAUGAUGCGUAGCCGAAUUGAGAGGUUGAUCGGCCACAUUGGGACUGAGACACGGCCCAAACUCCUACGGGAGGCAGCAGUAGGGAAUCUUCCACAAUGGGCGAAAGCCUGAUGGAGCAACGCCGCGUGGGUGAAGAAGGUCUUCGGAUCGUAAAACCCUGUUGUUAGAGAAGAAAGUGCGUGAGAGUAACUGUUCACGUUUCGACGGUAUCUAACCAGAAAGCCACGGCUAACUACGUGCCAGCAGCCGCGGUAAUACGUAGGUGGCAAGCGUUAUCCGGAUUUAUUGGGCGUAAAGGGAACGCAGGCGGUCUUUUAAGUCUGAUGUGAAAGCCUUCGGCUUAACCGGAGUAGUGCAUUGGAAACUGGGAGACUUGAGUGCAGAAGAGGAGAGUGGAACUCCAUGUGUAGCGGUGAAAUGCGUAGAUAUAUGGAAGAACACCAGUGGCGAAAGCGGCUCUCUGGUCUGUAACUGACGCUGAGGUUCGAAAGCGUGGGUAGCAAACAGGAUUAGAUACCCUGGUAGUCCACGCCGUAAACGAU
rnacentral:rRNA from 1 species